CCUACGGGUGGCAGCAGUCGAGAAUCAUUCACAAUGGGGGAAACCCUGAUGGUGCGACGCCGCGUGGGGGAGCGAAGGUCUUCGGAUUGUAAACCCCUGUCAAGUGGGAGCAAAUUAAAAAGAUAGUACCACUAGAGGAAGAGACGGCUAACUCUGUGCCAGCAGCCGCGGUAAUACAGAGGUCUCAAGCGUUGUUCGGAAUCACUGGGCGUAAAGCGUACGUAGGCGGCUUGGUAAGUCGUGUGUGAAAGGCAGGGGCUCAACCUCUGGACUGCACAUGAUACUGCCAGGCUAGAGUAAUGGAGGGGAAACCGGAAUUCUCGGUGUAGCAGUGAAAUGCGUAGAUAUCGAGAGGAACACUCGUGGCGAAGGCGGGUUUCUGGACAUUAACUGACGCUGAGGUACGAAGGCUAGGGGAGCGAAAGGGAUUAGAUACCCUGGUAGUC
rnacentral:rRNA from 1 species